rnacentral:rRNA from 1 species
AGUAAAAGUCGUAACAAGGUUUCCGUAGGUGAACCUGCGGAAGGAUCAUUAUCGAAUAAAACUUGAACAGGUUGUUGCUGGCUCAUCCAGGGCAUGUGCACGCUUGUCAUUUAUUUAUCUCUCCACUGUGCACCAACUGUAGGUCUGGAGCUUGGCUGCUUUAGGUCUAUGUUUUUACAAUCUCUCAAUGUGUUUUUGGAAUGUCGAAUUGUAAAUAUAUAUAUACAACUUUCAGCAACGGAUCUCUUGGCUCUCGCAUCGAUGAAGAACGCAGCGAAAUGCGAUAAGUAAUGUGAAUUGCAGAAUUCAGUGAAUCAUCGAAUCUUUGAACGCAUCUUGCGCUCCUUGGUAUUCUGAGGAGCAUGCCUGUUUGAGUGUCAUCAAGUUCUCAACCCAUGCUGAUUGGUUUCAACGUGGAUUGGAUAUGGGAUAUUUGCAGGCCCUUUCAAAAGGUCUGCUCUCCUGAAAUGAAUUAGUGGUAAUCUGAAGCAGAGGCUACUACUGGGUGUGAUAACUAUCUAUGCCUCUUGUAAAAACUCUGUGUGCAGACUGCUUAAAACAAAUUUUGAUUGACCAAUUUGACCUCAAAUCAG